AAAGUACUCCCUCUGUCCCAAAAUUCUUGUCUUAGAUUUGUUUAGAUAUGAAUGUAUCUAGUCAUGUUUUAGUAUUUUGAUACAUCCAUUUCUUGACAAACCUAAGACAAGAAUUUUGGGACAGAGGGAGUAUUAA
rnacentral:pre_miRNA from 1 species